UACGUAGGAGGCGAGCGUUAUCCGGAUUCACUGGGCGUAAAGCGCAUGUAGGCGGUUGCACAAGUCCGUUGUUAAAGCCCCCUGGCUCAACUGGGGGAGGUCAAUGGAGACUGUGCGACUUGAGGGCAAUAGAGGCACGUGGAACUCCCGGUGUAGCGGUGGAAUGCGUAGAGAUCGGGAAGAACACCAGUGGCGAAGGCGACGUGCUGGGUUGCACCUGACGCUGAGAUGCGAAAGUGUGGGGAGCAAACGGG
rnacentral:rRNA from 1 species